AGGACGAACGCUGGCGGCGUGCUUAACACAUGCAAGUCAAGGGGGCCCAGCAAUGGGCAACCGGCGAACGGGUGCGUAACACGUGAGCAACCUACCGAACUGUGGGGGAUAGCCGGCCUAACGGCCGAGUAAUACCGCAUACGCUCUCAGUGAGGCAUUUCAUCGAGAGGAAACCUACGGGACAGAUCGAGGGGCUCGCGGCCUAUCAGCUAGUUGGCGAGGUAACGGCUCACCAAGGCAACGACGGGUAGCUGGUCUGAGAGGAUGGCCAGCCACAUUGGGACUGAGAUACGGCCCAGACUCCUACGGGAGGCAGCAGUGGGGAAUCUUGCGCAAUGGCCUAACGGCUGACGCAGCGACGCCGCGUGUGGAUGAAGCUCUUCGGAGUGUAAACCACUGUUGCCCGGACGAAUAGCUCGAUUAAUCGAGCCUGACGGUACCGGUGAGGAAGCACCGGCUAACUCCGCGCCAGCAGCCGCGGUAA
rnacentral:rRNA from 1 species